UACGGAGGGUGCAAGCGUUAUCCGGAUUCACUGGGUUUAAAGGGCUCGUAGGCGGCCAACUAAGUCAGACGUGAAAUCCCUCGGCUUAACCGGGGAACUGCAUCUGAUACUGGAUGGCUUGAGUUCGGGAGAGGGAUGCGGAAUUCCAGGUGUAGCGGUGAAAUGCGUAGAUAUCUGGAGGAACACCGGUGGCGAAGGCGGCAUCCUGGACCGGCACUGACGCUGAGGAGCGAAAGCCAGGGGAGCAAACGGGG
rnacentral:rRNA from 1 species